rnacentral:rRNA from 1 species
CAUGCAAGUGCUUACUGCAUUUUUUCUUACACAUGUGUUUUUCUUUUUUUGAAAACUUUGCUUUGGUAGGCCUUCUAUAUGGGGCCUGCCAGAGAUUAAACUCAACCAAAUUUUAUUUAAUGUCAACCGAUUAUUUAAUAGUCAAAACUUUCAACAACGGAUCUCUUGGUUCUCGCAUCGAUGAAGAACGCAGCGAAAUGCGAUAAGUAAUAUGAAUUGCAGAUAUUCGUGAAUCAUCGAAUCUUUGAACGCACAUUGCGCCCUUUGGUAUUCCAAAGGGCAUGCCUGUUUGAGCGUCAUUUCUCCCUCAAACCCUCGGGUUUGGUGUUGAGCGAUACGCUGGGUUUGCUUGAAAGAAAGGCGGAGUAUAAACUAAUGGAUAGGUUUUUUCCACUCAUUGGUACAAACUCCAAAACUUCUUCCAAAUUCGACCUCAAAUCAGGUAGGACUACCCGCUGAACUUAAGCAUAUCAA